GUGCUCGAUUCAGCAGCACAUGUCCUAAAAUCUGAAUGAUGCAGAGAAGAUUAGCACAGCCCCUACACAAGGAUGACAUGCAAAUUCAUGAAGUGUUCCUUUUUUUU
ensembl:snRNA U6 U6 spliceosomal RNA